AGAGCUCUUAAAUGUCAACAAAUAGGUAAGCUGACACUUAAAAAGUGUCAAGGCUGACCAUAAGCAAACGAUUUUUUCUAUCGUGUGACGGUUAUUAUCUGUCAGGGAAAGCGUUUUCUUGACGGACAAAAAGCGUCAAGUAUGUGGGUACCCUUUUCCUGACACUGGUAUUCUUGAUGCUUUUUUAGCCGUCAAUUAAAUAGAUUCUUGACACUUUUUAACCGUCACUAAAGGCAGUUUUCUUGUAGUGAGAAAUGUUAUAGCAUGCCCCCUUAAAUUUUGUGUGAUUUCAAAGGUUACUGUUAAACUUUUGGUCAAUGUCUCCCUUAAAUAUUUAGGGCCCGUUCGGUAUCAUUUUCAAGCGUCAUUUUCUGUUUUUGUUUUCUGUUUUCACGUGAAAACGUGUUCGAUGGGUUAUUUUGAGAAACAAGCUGAAAUUGUUUUCUGAGAAUGAAAAUAAAAGUACGAAUAAAUGUUGAUAACGCUAGAAAGUCGUUUUCGUUUUCGGCGUUUUUGUUUUUAGUCUAUCCAAAUCAAAGCCAACUCUUCUCCGUCAAAUGAGCAAACAAUCCAAUCAUAUCCAAAACAAUCAAAUCUCCUCUUCCAACCAUAAUCAGCCCCAAAAUAUCAAGAAAAAAAUAGUCACACAAAUUUGCAAACCAAGAAAAAAAGACAGAGAGAAAGAAGAAAAGAAAAAAAAAAGAGGAAGAAGAAGAAGAGAAAGAAUCAGAAAGGGCAGAGAGAGAGAGAGAGAGAGAGAGAGAGUUGCAGAGGGAGAGAUGAGAGAAACCAGCCACCACAUACCCAGCUCAACCACCAUCACCACCCAAUCUAACCAUCACAACCAUUAAUAAGUGGAACCAGAGAGGUGGGUUGAUGGGAUUCAUGUCAUGGAAGGAAGGAGGAGUGAAAGUGAAAAAGAGGGAAGGAAGAAGAAAAGAGAAAGUAGAGAAGAGGAAGAAGGAAAGAAAAAGGAACGGGGAAGGAAAGAAGAAGAAAAGAGGAAGAAAGAAAGAAAGGGAGAAAAAGGAGAAAAGAAAAAUGAAAAAGGAAAGGAGAUAAAAGAUAGUUUUAUCUUUUAAAAAAUAAUAUAAUUUUUUAUUUGUUAAAUUAUACAUUUUUAAAAAUAUUUUUUCAAAACAGAAAUGAGCAAAAAUACCCUUGAAAAAGAACUAACAUUAUAUUAUUCUCAAUUUGUACUAACAGAC
rnacentral:lncRNA from 1 species